UACAGAGGGUGCGAGCGUUGUUCGGAAUUACUGGGCGUAAAGGGCGCGUAGGCGGUGCGGUAAGUCACCUGUGAAAUCUCCUGGCUCAACUGGGAGCUUGCAGGCGAAACUGCCGUGCUGGAGUGUGGGAGAGGUGAGUGGAAUUCCCGGUGUAGCGGUGAAAUGCGUAGAUAUCGGGAAGAACACCCGUGGCGAAGGCGGUUCUCUGGGACGGUACUGACGCUGAGACGCGAAAGCGUGGGGAGCGAACAGG
rnacentral:rRNA from 1 species